GACUACAUGAAGCUGGAAUCGCUAGUAAUCGCGAAUCAGAAUGUCGCGGUGAAUAUGUUCCCGGGUCUUGUACACACCGCCCGUCACACCAUGGGAGUUGGAAAUGCCCGAAGUCAGUGACCCAACCGCAAGGAGGGAGCUGCCGAAGGCAGGUCCGGUAACUGGGGUGAAGUCGUAACAAGGUAAC
rnacentral:rRNA from 1 species